UACGGAGGGAGCGAGCGUUGUUCGGAAUCAUUGGGCGUAAAGGGCAUGUAGGCGGCUUUGUAAGUCGGGUGUGAAAUCCCAUCACUUAAGGGUGGAACGGCAUUCGAAACUGCAAGGCUUGAGUUCAGGGGAAGAGAGCGGAAUUCUCGGUGUAGCGGUGAAAUGCGUAGAUAUCGAGAAGAACACCAGCGGCGUAAGCGGUUCUCUAUCCUGAAACUGACGCUGAGGUGCGAAAGCCAGGGGAGCAAACGGG
rnacentral:rRNA from 1 species